CUGUUACUAGAGGUGUGUUGGGGUCCUGAGGCCUAGAAGCCUUCCUGUAUAGUAGCCCCUCCCCCCUCCUGUUACUAGAGGUGUGUUGGGGUCCUGAGGCCUAGAAGCCUUCCUGUAUAGUGGCCCCUCCCCCCUCCUGUUACUAGAGGUGUGUUGGGGUCCUGAGGCCUAGAAGCCUUCCUGUAUAGUAGCCCCUCCCCCUCCUGUUACUAGAGGUGUGUUGGGGUCCUGAGGCCUAGAAGCCUUCCUGUAUAGUAGCCCCUCCCCCCUCCUGUUACUAGAGGUGUGUUGGGGUCCUGAGGCCUAGAAGCCUUCCUGUAUAGUAGCCCCUCCCCCCUCCUGUUACUAGAGGUGUGUUGGGGUCCUGAGGCCUAGAAGCCUUCCUGUAUAGUAGCCCCCCCCUCCUGGUUACUAGAGGUGUGUUGGGGUCCUGAGGCCUAGAAGCCUUCCUGUAUAGUAGCCCCUCCCCCUCCUGUUACUAGAGGUGUGUUGGGGUCCUGAGGCCUAGAAGCCUUCCUGUAUAGUAGCCCCUCACCUCUCAAGCGACUGUGGCUCUUGUCUCCCUCCUCUCGAUGUGUGUGUGUUGGACAGAACUGCCACUAAGUGUGUGUGUUGGACAGAACUGCCACUAAGUGUGUGUGUGACUUGUCUUUGCCUUUUGAGGAAGCUGCUAUCUCUGGCACAGCGGGAAGUUCUGGGGUGUGUGUCUGCCAGCACGUGUGUGUGGCUGUGUGUGUGGCUGUGUGUGUGUGUGUGGCUGCGUGUGUGUGUGUGUGGCUGUGUGUGUGGCUGCGUGUGUGUGUGUGUGUUCGUUGAGCACAAUCCUGACUGGAUUCAUGUGUAUUUGUGUUUUGUUUUAUAAAGCCUCCACCCCAAUAGCUCUUCCUGUCUCCUCUCUCUAACCUUUAACCCCAAGUCCUCUUAUCUACAGUGUAUAUACAUUAUGACAACUAGGUUCUGCUGUUGUAUGAUGCAGACAUACAUGUGGUACAUAUUGUAAAAAAAAAAAAAAAAAAAAAUUGUAAAAAAAAAAAAAAGAAGUGCAAAACCAUUUUGAAUUGUUUAAAAUGUAAAAUAAUGAUUCUGGCAUUAAACAAACCAAGCUUUUAACUAUGAA